UACGGAGGGGGCUAGCGUUGUUCGGAAUUACUGGGCGUAAAGCGCACGUAGGCGGCUACUCAAGUCAGAGGUGAAAGCCCGGGGCUCAACCCCGGAACGGCCUUUGAAACUAGGUAGCUAGAAUUCUGGAGAGGUAAGUGGAAUUGCGAGUGUAGAGGUGAAAUUCGUAGAUAUUCGCAGGAACACCAGUGGCGAAGGCGGCUUACUGGUCCAUUACUGACGCUGAGGUGCGAAAGCGUGGGGAGCAAACAGG
rnacentral:rRNA from 1 species